UACAGAGGUGCCAAGCGUUGUUCGGAUUUACUGGGCGUAAAGGGUGCGUAGGUGGUCAUGUAAGUCGGAUGUGAAAUCCCGGAGCCUAACUCCGGAAUGGCAUCCGAAACUGCGUGGCUAGAGGUCUGGAGAGGUGAUUGGAAUUCUCGGUGUAGCAGUGAAAUGCGUAGAUAUCGAGAGGAACACCAGAGGCGAAGGCGGAUCACUGGACAGAUUCUGACACUGAGGCACGAAAGCCAGGGGAG
rnacentral:rRNA from 1 species